rnacentral:tRNA from 1 species
UCCACAGUAGCUCAGUGGUAGAGCUAUCGGCCGUUAACCGAUCGGUCGUAGGUUCGAGUCCUACCUGUGGAGCCA